rnacentral:rRNA from 1 species
GAUGAACGCUGGCGGCGUGCCUAAUACAUGCAAGUCGAGCGAAUGGAUUAAGAGCUUGCUCUUAUGAAGUUAGCGGCGGACGGGUGAGUAACACGUGGGUAACCUGCCCAUAAGACUGGGAUAACUCCGGGAAACCGGGGCUACUACCGGAUAACAUUUUGAACCGCAUGGGUCGAAAUUGAAUGGCGGCUUCGGCUGUCACUUAUGGAUGGACCCGCGUCGCAUUAGCUAGUUGGUGUGGUAACGGCUCACAAAGGCAACGAUGCGUAGCCGACCUGAGAGGGUGAUCGGCCACACUGGGACUGAGACACGGCCCAGACUCCUACGGGAGGCAGCAGUAGGGAAUCUUCCGCAAUGGACGAAAGUCUGACGGAGCAACGCCGCGUGAGUGAUGAAGGCUUUCGGGUCGUAAAACUCUGUUGUUAGGGAAGAACAAGUGCUAGUUGAAUAAGCUGGCACCUUGACGGUACCUAACCAGAAAGCCACGGCUAACUACGUGCCAGCAGCCGCGGUAA